rnacentral:rRNA from 2 species
UGGGGAAUAUUGGGCAAUGGGGGCAACCCUGACCCAGCGACGCCGCGUGAGGGAAGAAGGCCUUCGGGUUGUAAACCUCUUUUGUAUGGGAAGAAGGACGUGACGGUACCGUACGAAUAAGUCCCGGCUAACUCCGGCUAACUACGUGCCAGCAGCCGCGGUAAUACGUAGGGGACGAGCGUUGUCCGGAAUUACUGGGCGUAAAGGGCGCGCAGGCUGUGCUGCAAGUCAGCUGUGAAAUAUCUGGGCUUAACCCGGUUAUGCGGUUGAGACUGCAGUGCUGGAGUGCUGUAGAGGCAAGCGGAAUUCCCAGUGUAGCGGUGAAAUGCGUAGAUAUUGGGAAGAACACCGGUGGCGAAGGCGGCUUGCUGGGCAGCAACUGACGCUGAGGCGCGAAAGCCAGGGGAGCAAACGGG